GAUGAACGCUGGCGGCGUGCCUAAUACAUGCAAGUCGAGCGAACGGACGAGAAGCUUGCUUCUCUGAUGUUAGCGGCGGACGGGUGAGUAACACGUGGAUAACCUACCUAUAAGACUGGGAUAACUUCGGGAAACCGGAGCUAAUACCGGAUAAUAUUUUGAACCGCAUGGUUCAAAAGUGAAAGACGGUCUUGCUGUCACUUAUAGAUGGAUCCGCGCUGCAUUAGCUAGUUGGUAAGGUAACGGCUUACCAAGGCAACGAUGCAUAGCCGACCUGAGAGGGUGAUCGGCCACACUGGAACUGAGACACGGUCCAGACUCCUACGGGAGGCAGCAGUAGGGAAUCUUCCGCAAUGGGCGAAAGCCUGACGGAGCAACGCCGCGUGAGUGAUGAAGGUCUUCGGAUCGUAAAACUCUGUUAUUAGGGAAGAACAUAUGUGUAAGUAACUGUGCACAUCUUGACGGUACCUAAUCAGAAAGCCACGGCUAACUACGUGCCAGCAGCCGCGGUAAUACGUAGGUGGCAAGCGUUAUCCGGAAUUAUUGGGCGUAAGGCGCGCGUAGGCGGUUUUUUAAGUCUGAUGUGAAAGCCCACGGCUCAACCGUGGAGGGUCAUUGGAAACUGGAAAACUUGAGUGCAGAAGAGGAAAGUGGAAUUCCAUGUGUAGCGGUGAAAUGCGCAGAGAUAUGGAGGAACACCAGUGGCGAAGGCGACUUUCUGGUCUGUAACUGACGCUGAUGUGCGAAAGCGUGGGGAUCAAACAGG
rnacentral:rRNA from 1 species